GUAGGUGAACCUGCGGAAGGAUCAUUACCAAUCCAAAAAAACUUAUACACCUGUGCACUUUGGGAUGUCUUUAGGGGAUUUGAAGUAUUCAUCUUUUAGGCUUCUAAAUGGAUGGUCAGUUAAAUGGGUCUCUGUCUUUCUUGUUUCCCAUACUUGUAUGGACUUGAGAAAAAGGGGAUGCAUUGAUCAAAAGUUUCUAAGCUGUUUGACGAGAUUGAAUUUGCUUUGUCCCCGCAUGUAUUAAACAACU
rnacentral:misc_RNA from 1 species